CCUACGGGUGGCAGCAGUGAGGAAUAUUGGUCAAUGGGCGCGAGCCUGAACCAGCCAAGUCGCGUGAGGGAGGACGGCCCUACGGGUUGUAAACCUCUUUUGCCGGGGAGCAACAGGCUUCACGUGUGGCGCCACUGAGAGUACCCGGAGAAAAAGCAUCGGCUAACUCCGUUCCAGCAGCCGCGGUAAUACGGAGGAUGCGAGCGUUAUCCGGAUUUAUGGGGUUAAAGGGGUGCUUAGGCGGAUCGUUAAGUCAGUGGGCAAGUUGAGGGGCUAAACCCCUUCCCGCCAUUGAAACUGGCGCUCUUGAGUGGAAGAGAAGUAUGCGGAAUGCGUGGUGUAGCGGUGAAAUGCAUAGAUAUCACGCAGAACCCCGAUUGCGAAGGCAGCAUGCCGGCUUCCGACUGACGCUGAAGCACGAAAGCGUGGGGAUCGAACAGGAUUAGAUACCCCGGUAGUC
rnacentral:rRNA from 1 species